rnacentral:rRNA from 1 species
CUCGAGUGGCGAACGGGUGAGUAACACGUGGGUGAUCUGCCCCAAACUCUGGGAUAAGCCUGGGAAACUGGGUCUAAUACUGGAUAUGACCUUCUGCUUCAUGGUGGUUGGUGGAAAGCUUUGCGGUUUGGGAUGGGCCCGCGGCCUAUCAGCUUGUUGGUGGGGUAAUGGCCUACCAAGGCGACGACGGGUAGCCGACCUGAGAGGGUGAUCGGCCACACUGGGACUGAGACACGGCCCAG